CAGCAGCACUUCAAUAUUGGCAGUGUCCACCCCCUCCGGCCGCCAGUAUUGCCUGUGCUGCUCCA
rnacentral:pre_miRNA from 1 species